AUUGAACGCUGGCGGCAGGCCUAACACAUGCAAGUCGAGCGGAUGAGGGGAGCUUGCUCCUGGAUUCAGCGGCGGACGGGUGAGUAAUGCCUAGGAAUCUGCCUGGUAGUGGGGGAUAACGUCCGGAAACGGGCGCUAAUACCGCAUACGUCCUGAGGGAGAAAGUGGGGGAUCUUCGGACCUCACGCUAUCAGAUGAGCCUAGGUCGGAUUAGCUAGUUGGUGGGGUAAAGGCCUACCAAGGCGACGAUCCGUAACUGGUCUGAGAGGAUGAUCAGUCACGCUGGAACUGAGACACGGUCCAGACUACUACGGGAGGCAGCAGUGGGGAAUAUUGGACAAUGGGCGAAAGCCUGAUCCAGCCAUGCCGCGUGUGUGAAGAAGGUCUUCGGAUUGUAAAGCACUUUAAGUUGGGAGGAAGGGCAGUAAGUUAAUACCUUGCUGUUUUGACGUUACCAACAGAAUAAGCACCGGCUAACUUCGUG
rnacentral:rRNA from 1 species